UACAGAGGUCCCGAGCGUUGUUCGGAUUUAUUGGGCGUAAAGGGCGCGUAGGCGGCCAUGCGUGUCUUCCGUGAAAUCCCUCGGCUUAACUGAGGACGUGCGGAAGAAACUGCAAGGCUCGAGUCCGGGAGAGGGGGGUGGAAUUCCCAGUGUAGCGGUGAAAUGCGUAGAUAUUGGGAGGAACACCGGUGGCGAAGGCGGCCCCCUGGACCGGAACUGACGCUGAGGCGCGAAAGCGUGGGUAGCAAACGGG
rnacentral:rRNA from 1 species